rnacentral:rRNA from 1 species
GACGAACGCUGGCGGCGUGCUUAACACAUGCGAGUCGAACGGAAAGGCCCUGCUUUUGUGGGGUGCUCGAGUGGCGAACGGGUGAGUAACACGUGAGUAACCUGCCCUUGACUUUGGGAUAACUUCAGGAAACUGGGGCUAAUACCGGAUAGGAGCUCCUGCUGCAUGGUGGGGGUUGGAAAGUUUCGGCGGUUGGGGAUGGACUCGCGGCUUAUCAGCUUGUUGGUGGGGUAGUGGCUUACCAAGGCUUUGACGGGUAGCCGGCCUGAGGGGGUGACCGGCCACAUUGGGACUGAGAUACGGCCCAGACUCCUACGGGAGGCAGCAGCGGGGAAUAUUGCACAAUGGGCGGAAGCCUGAUGCAGCAACGCCGCGUGCGGGAUGACGGCCUUCGGGUUGUAAACCGCUUUCGCCUGUGACGAAGCGUGAGUGACGGUAAUGGGUAAAGAAGCACCGGCUAACUACGUG